AACUUUCAACAACGGAUCUCUCGGUUCUGGCAUCGAUGAAGAACGCAGCGAAAUGCGAUAAGUAAUGUGAAUUGCAGAAUUUAGUGAAUCAUCGAAUCUUUGAACGCACAUUGCGCCCCUCGGUAUUCCGGGGGGCAUGCCUGUUCGAGCGUCAUUA
rnacentral:rRNA from 1 species